UACGGAGGAUCCGAGCGUUAUCCGGAUUUAUUGGGUUUAAAGGGUGCGCAGGCGGGAGAUUAAGUCGGCGGUGAAAUUUUGCAGCUCAACUGUAAAAGUGCCUUCGAAACUGGUUUCCUUGAGUGUGGAUGAAGUAGGCGGAAUUUGUGGUGUAGCGGUGAAAUGCUUAGAUAUCACACAGAACACCGAUUGCGAAGGCAGCACACUAAGUCAUUAUUGACGCUGAGGCACGAAAGUGUGGGGAUCAAACAGGAUUAGAUACCCU
rnacentral:rRNA from 1 species